CCUGACCUCGGAUCAGACGUGAAUACCCGCUGAACUUAAGCAUAUCACUAAGCGGAGGAAAAGAAACUAACAAGGAUUCCCUCAGUAACGGCGAGUGAACAGGGAUGAGCCCAGCACCGAAGCCUA
rnacentral:rRNA from 1 species